UUCGGGACUUGAUGGACCCAGAGUCUGUCUGAGGAUGCAGCCUCUGGUCACUGCAGAAAAUAUCUCCAUUUUCAGGGUGAAAAUAUUCCAAAGUUGUUACAAGUCAUUCUUUUAAGAAUAUCUAAUGGUGUGAAAAAUGGUCACCAGAAGUGAAAAAAAGCAUGGGAUAAAGCUAAAUAGAACUGGAUUCCAUUUAGGAAUACAGGACCUUGGCAGGCAGAGAUGUACCCUGUGGCUUGGUCUUUCUCUGCUUGGCCAGUGGUGAUGAAAACAAUAACAAAGACCCUGACUUUGCUUAAUGACCAAGACUCGCUUAGAUAACAAACCAGCGCAGUCGUUGGCAGAGAGCCUUCUAGAUGCUUGAUGCAGUGUGACCUACUGGAAUAGGGUCAGAAGGAAGGAGGGCUAAGUUACAUAUUGGUUCAACCGAAGCAGAUUAUCUUCUCUAGAUUUGGACUGAUGACCUUGUUUAUUAUUAACUAUCAUUUACUGAGAACUUUUAUGUGCCAGGUACCGAAUUAGGUACUUUAUGUUCAUUUUCUUGCAAGGUUUUGUUGCUGUUUUUCUUUUUUUAACAAAGGAGAAAAUUGAAUUUCAGAACGGUUAAGUAAUUUGUUCAACAUUAUUACACAGUUUAUAAAUGGUACAGCCAGAAAUGCGAUCUUGGUAUGAGUAUAAAAUAACUUUUACUCUUUCUUUGGUAAACACAUAGCUUACGCCUUACAAAUUUCAAAUUCAAGGUGCCAGAGGACUGCGGCUUAGAACGGGUGAGCUGGCCAUGGCAUAGCAAGUCAGUAAUUUAUAUACACAACCAUAUUGACUCUUUUCAUCACAGAGAAUUCCAGGAAAAUUCAGACAAGGUAGAAUCAUUGGGCAGAAUUGCAGAAGGAUUCCUUCUCAAUACUUUAAGAAUAAGAAAACCCCCCAGUCGGGGCUUCAUGAGCCUGUAAAAAAAAAUUUUUAAUGCCAUCAGGCUGUUGUUUUUAGUUUAAUUGCUCAUUAAUUUUUUGAUUUAAAAAAUAGGUUUCAUUCUUUUGUAAGAGUUUGAGAUUUACGGAAAAGUUGAGAGGCUAGUAUGGAGAAUUCCCAUAUACCCUGCACCCAGUUUCCGCUAUUAACAUCUAAUAAUGCACAUUUGUCAUAAUUAACGAACUCAUACUGAUUUGCUAUUAACUAGAGUCCAGAGUUUAUUCAGAUUUCCUUGGUUUUUACCUAAUGUCAUUUUCCCAUUCCGGGAUCCCAACCAGGAUACCACAUUACAUUUAGUUGUCAUUUCUCCUUAGGCUCCUCUUGGCUGUGAGAGUUUCUCAGACUUUUGUUGGUUGUGAUGACCUUGAUAGUUCUGAGAUUUACUCGUGAUUUUGCAAGAAGCAAGAGGAUGCCCAUCUACUGGGAUUUGUCUGAUGUUUUUCUCAUGAUUAGACUAGGGUAAUGGGUUUUUGGGUGGAGGACCUCAGCUGUAAAGUGCCAUUUUCAUCAUAUCAUAUCAAGGGUAAAUGCUGUCGAGGUGAUUUAUGACUGAUGUUGACUUCAUCACCUGGCUGAGGUAGUGUUUGUUAGGGUUCUCACUGGAAAGUUACAUUUUGUCCCCCUUUCCAUACUGUGCUUUUUGGAAGUCACUAGGCAUAGCUCAAACCUAAGUGGGGUGCGCAUUAACUUUUAAAAUAAUCAUUCAUCUCUCCCUGCCUCUCAAAGUGAUUUCUUCUUGUUCAACCUGAUUUGAUACCACUUGUGUUCAUUAAUUUCUUCACCUCUACUUCCACUCUCCAAAUUAUAACUAUCAAAUCACAGACUUUCAGAGCUUGGAGGAGCGUAAAGUUUACCUAGCCCUGUUGGGACUGGAUUAUCUGAUAGCCAGAUGAAGCAGAAAUGCAUA
ensembl:lncRNA